AGAGUUUGAUUAUGGCUCAGAUUGAACGCUGGCGGCAUGCUUUACACAUGCAAGUCGAACGGCAGCGGGGGCUUCGGCCCGCCGGCGAGUGGCGAACGGGUGAGUAAUGCAUCGGAACGUGCCCAGUGGUGGGGGAUAACUACGCGAAAGCGUAGCUAAUACCGCAUACGCCCUGAGGGGGAAAGCGGGGGAUCUUCGGACCUCGCGCGAUUGGAGCGGCCGAUGUCGGAUUAGCUAGUUGGUGAGGUAAAGGCUCACCAAGGCGACGAUCCGUAGCUGGUCUGAGAGGAUGAUCAGCCACACUGGGACUGAGACACGGCCCAGACUCCUACGGGAGGCAGCAGUGGGGAAUUUUGGACAAUGGGGGCAACCCUGAUCCAGCCAUGCCGCGUGAGUGAAGAAGGCCUUCGGGUUGUAAAGCUCUUUCGGACGGGAAGAAAUGGGGCUCUCUAACAUAGGGCGUCGAUGACGGUACUGUAAGAAGAAGCACCGGCUAACUACGUGCCAGCAGCCGCGGUAAUACGUAGGGUGCGAGCGUUAAUCGGAAUUACUGGGCGUAAAGCGUGCGCAGGCGGUUGUGUAAGACAGGUGUGAAAUCCCCGGGCUUAACCUGGGAACGGCGCUUGUGACUGCACGGUCAGAGUACGGCAGAGGGGGGUGGAAUUCCACGUGUAGCAGUGAAAUGCGUAGAGAUGUGGAGGAACACCGAUGGCGAAGGCAGCCCCCUGGGCCUGUACUGACGCUCAUGCACGAAAGCGUGGGGAGCAAACAGGAUUAGAUACCCUG
rnacentral:rRNA from 1 species